AUACGUAGGGGGCGAGCGUUGUCCGGAAUGAUUGGGCGUAAAGGGCGCGUAGGCGGCGCGGUAAGUCUGGAGUGAAAGUCCUGCUUUCAAGGUGGGAAUUGCUUUGGAUACUGCCGCGCUUGAGUGCAGGAGAGGUUAUCGGAAUUCCCGGUGUAGCGGUGAAAUGCGUAGAGAUCGGGAGGAACACCAGUGGCGAAGGCGGGUAACUGGACUGCAACGGACGCUGAGGCGCGAAAGUGUGGGGAGCAAACAGGAUUAUAUACCCUGGUAGUCCACACUGUAAACGAUGAAUGCUAGGUGUAAGAGGUAGCGACCCCUUGUGUGCCGGAGUCAACACAAUAAGCAUUCCGCCUGGGGAGUACGGUCGCAAGGGUGAAACUUAAAGGAAUUGACGGUG
rnacentral:rRNA from 1 species